UGCUGCUAAAUUCUAAGGAUGAGAGUUACACAGUGUCAAGGCCAUCAGAGGAGGUUCAUCUGCUCCAGCGUUGCCUCCUGUCCACAUAGCAGAUGCUGUGGGUGUCUCCUCCCUAACUGUCCAGGCUUCUUUGGGAAGAGUGGUUCAUCAGUGAAGGGAAGUCCUCCUGAGAAGGAUCCAAGUGUGAGCUUUCAGCAGCUAGAUGGGAGCAGCAGCCAGGUACUCAGUGUUCCAAAGAGUUCAAAUGGAUCAGCAAAUCAGCCAAGGGAAGAAUGUAACAGGACUUCAGAGAUGUCAUCCUUUUGGUUAUUUUGCUGCUGGCCACAUGGGAGAGCCUACCUUUUAUAAAGAAGCAGAUGCUCUGCAUUUCUCUCAUACCUGUUUCCGAGCCAGGAGGAAGGGAGCUCAUCUGGUAGGAUAUUUAUCACCCAAGAAGUUUUGUUCAACCGCAUCAGCCGGUUGGUGUGUUGCAUUCAAUCAAGGGCCCUGACAGACAUGCCAGGAAGGUCAACUGAUAACACUAAUUUUUCUGGCACUCCUAAUGACAGGUUUAUUUGAUGAGAAUCUAUACCCCGCCCCCAAAUCUACUCAUGUUUUAUGGCAUGUCCCCCUAGCCCCAUUUGCUGCUUCACAUAUCUAUGGCUGCAUA